GGAGGGUGUAAGCGUUAUUCGGAAUUAUUGGGCGUAAAGAGCGCGUAGGCGGUUUUUUAAGUCAGAUGUGAAAGCCCGAGGCUUAACCUCGGAAGUGCAUUUGAAACUAAGAGACUUGAGUAUGGGAGAGGGAAGUGGAAUUCCUGGUGUAGAGGUGAAAUUCGUAGAUAUCAGGAGGAACACCGGUGGCGAAGGCGACUUCCUGGACCAAUACUGACGCUGAGGCGCGAAGGCGUGGGGAGCAAACAGGAUUAGAUACCCUGGGUAGUCCACGCAGUAAACGGUGAACACUAGGUGUAGCGGGUAUUGACCCCCCUGCUGUGCCGAAGUUAACGCAUUAAGUGUUCCGCCUGGGGAGUACGACCGCAAGGUUA
rnacentral:rRNA from 1 species